CAAGCGGAUCUCUUAAAGCUGUUCUCAGUUCGGACUGCAGUCUGCAACUCGACUGCACGAAGCUGGAAUCGCUAGUAAUCGCGGAUCAGCACGCCGCGGUGAAUACGUUCCCGGGCCUUGUACACACCGCCCGUCACACCAUGGAAGUCUGCAAUGCCCGAAGCCGGUGGCCUAACCACUUAUGUGGAAGGAGCCGUCUAAGGCAGGGCAGAUGACUGGGGUGAAGUCGUAACAAGGUAGC
rnacentral:rRNA from 1 species